rnacentral:rRNA from 1 species
AGCAGCCGCGGUAAUUCCAGCUCCAAUAGCGUAUAUUAAAGUUGUUGCAGUUAAAAAGCUCGUAGUUGAAUUUUGGAUUCUUCCAAUUGGUCCAUCUUUUUAGAUGAGUACUGGUUGUGUGGGGUCUAUCCGCCUGGUGAUACGUAAUGUCCUUUAUUGGAUGUUGCGGGUAGUCAGGACCUUUACCUUGAAAAAUUAGAGUGUUUAAAGCAGGCUUAUGCCGGAAUACAUUAGCAUGGAAUAAUAGAAUAGGACGAAGUUGUUUUAUUUUGUUGGUUUCUAGGACAACCGUAAUGAUUAAUAGGGAUAGUUGGGGGCAUUAGUAUUCAAUUGUCAGAGGUGAAAUUCUUGGAUUUAUUGAAGACUAACUACUGCGAAAGCAUUUGCCAAGGAUGUUUUCAUUAAUCAAGAACGAAAGUUAGGGGAUCGAAGACGAUCAGAUACCGUCGU